UUCAUCACUGUUUAGCGUUAACGCUGCCGAAAACGCCUGGCCGGGUGUGUGAUGUUUAGGCAGGGAAGUCUCGAAAAUGUACUCGUUGUAAAACAGUAACUCGGCGAGUGAUCAUUAACUUGACCUAUCGCAGGACUUCAACAGUAAAUAUCAUGUAUUGCUUCCUCAGUGUUGGCGUUACACUACUAGUAUCCUGUGUUUAUGUCGGCUGUGAGAUAUGGACUGAAGUUAUUCUAUAAUUCUCUGUGGCUGCGUCUUAUCUGAGGCCCCGAGUUAGGCUUAGCUAGCUGGAUGCUGUCACGCUAACCUAGACACUCACCUGAGCUUUUCAGAUGGAAGGGAGCAAGACUCCUCUCUUCCCAGGGGGCCGGGAGAUUUAUAAGAAGACGCGUCGACUCCAAUUCUUCCGUCUGUCGAAUGUCUGAAUGAAUUUUAAUAAACGUCACCGGAAUUUCA